UAUGUUGUGCCAAUUGUUAUUACAAUAAGCGAUCGAGCUUGCAAAAUGAAACAGCAGGUUCAUGAUGUAGUUGAUUUUACAUUUGUACUCAAAGGUUUAUUAAUAUAUCGAUAAAAUAUAUAUCUUGCUGGAUAUUUUUUUCAAUGCAGUUAUCCAGAUUCAUAUCUGGAUGGGGUUGUAUUCACAAAAGGAGUAUAUCGACGGGGGCUAGACCUUACCUCAAGAAAUAUAUAUCUUGCUGGAUAUUUUUUUAAUGCAGUUAUCCAGAUUCAUAUUUGGAUGGGGUUGUAUUCACAAAAAGAGUAUAUCGACGGGGGCUAGACCUUACCUCAAGAAAUAAAAACUAGGU
rnacentral:lncRNA from 1 species